rnacentral:rRNA from 1 species
AUUGAACGCUGGCGGCAGGCUUAACAAAUGCAAGUCGAGCGAGCGGCGGACGGGUGAGUAAUGUCUGUGAAACUGCCUGAUGGAGGGGGAUAACUACUGGAAACGGUAUCUAAUACCGCAUCCCAUCGGAUGUGCCCAGAUGGGAUUAGCUCGUCGGUGGGGUAAUGGCUCACCUAGGCGCCGAUCCCUCACGGGUCUGAGAGGAUGACCAGCCACACUGGAACUGAGACACGGUCCAGACUCCGACGGGAGGCAGCAGUGGGGAAUAUUGCACAAUGGGCGAAAGCCUGAUGCAGCCAUGCCGCGUGUGGGAAGAAGGCCUUCGGGUUGUAAAGCACUUUCAGCGAGGAGGCGUUACUCGCAGAAGAAGCACCGGCUAACUCCGUGCCAGCAGCCGCGGUAAUUC